rnacentral:tRNA from 1 species
UCCCUGGAGGACUAGUGGUUAGAACUCGGUGCUCUCAGCGCAGUGGCACGGGUUUGAUUCCCGGCCAGGGAA